GCACGUUGUAAGUGGACUUUUUAAGGCCGCCCAGACGAGGGGCUCAGACAUAGGAGUCUGCGUUUGCUCCCACGCGCUGAUUGGUCCGUCUGUUGACGUGAGCCCGGGUCUGAGAGGCGGGUCGCCUGGAGGCAGUUAGGAAGAAGCUAUGCUUUCAAGAAGGGGAGACAGAAACUGUAUCUUAACGCCAGAGCAAAGAAAGAACUCUAAACAAGCCAACAACAACACCAAAAGGAAAAACCUCAGUUUGGACAUGAGUCUGAGCAACUCUCUGUAAUGAUAACGUGCAAAGUUAUCAUUCAAUUGUUAUUAUUGUGCUUAAUUUAUAUGGAAAGUUAAAGAAAUCUCACAAGGCAGGAUUACACUGCCAACUGUAAAACAACCCAUACAUUGUGUAAAGAAAGUGUUAUACUGGGUCAAACUUUAUAUGUUUGGAUCAGCAUACCCAAAAAGUGUACUUUCAGUGGUUUAGGCCUCAGAGAAUUAUCUUUGGCCAUUAUGUGUAUAGCUUGAGUAUGAAUGUGUUAGCAGCAUGUGUUACUCCAUUCACAGCAAACAAUGUCCUUUCUCAACAUGUCACCAUUGCCACUUGCCAGCCUUUGAAUGUACAUGUUGCAUGCUCCAAUACUUGCUACUAUCAAAGCUUCUUAGCUGCUGCAAUCUUUAAUGUAGAGUUCAGUUCUUAAAAGUAAGCUUCUAUCAUUCAUGUCUGAACAAAAACACUUUAAAAUAUGACUUUCCUACCGGUGAAACUCGGAAAAUUUGAA